CUCAUCACCAAUGGCAGCUUGGGGGCGGCGGCGGAAAGCGAAACCCGCUCCGGCGCCGCCGCCGCCGCCGCGUCAAAACACAGCCCGGGCCUGCGCGGCGCAUGCGCGGAGCGAGGGCGCCCGACCCCGCCCCCCCUCGAGGGCGGGGCUUCGCGCGGUCGGCCGGAGCCCGGCCCUUCCCCCACCGCCCCCGGGGUUCCUGGCGUGAGAGCUACGAGACCCCCGGGGCAGAAGUCACCAGCCUCGCCAGGACUCGUUACUAUUAAACGCUGAGGGGGGACGACAGGGGGGCACUAGCUUAAUGUUUGCCCCUUACUUACCAAGAAAGCGCGGUAACUAGCUCGGUCUCAUUUAAACCUCACCAAACUCUGCGAAAACUUACUAAAAUUGUGUCUAGGGUGUAGAUAAAGGAACUGGGUGACACGGACGUGAGGUGACUCUACCUCCGGUUGCACAGCGAGGAAAUAACAGCACGAGGAUUCGAAUGGAAUCCAAAGCCAGAGCCCACCCCGCAUCCUCGACAGCCUCCAGAGAGUCUGCUCCAAACGUGGGAUAAACGGGGACCACCCGAGAGAGCGGCCGCGUGAACUCUCACCAAACCGAGCGGUUUCUCUGCGGCGGCUGCCUCUCCCCUUCCCGCUCCCCGCAAUCGGGAGGGAAACCCCGCUCAGACGCCCUCUGAGCUGCGGAGACAGAACACCCGAGCCCGAGGCGGCCGGUUGCCCCGUUCCACGCUCGGGCCUCCCCGCGAGCGUCCCUCCGUUCCAGAGCGGAACCUGCGACAUCCCCCCGCGCCAAACCGCCGUCCGCAGGCUCUCCUCGGCGGGGCUCUAGGACAGCACAACCGCCCGCGGAGCCUGGCCGACUGGCAGGCACACCGUGCGGGGGCCCCUUCUCAGACGGACCCUUCACAGCCAAGGCUGGCGCGUCCUCGGACUCCCGUGCCCUGAGGAAGGCUCCCGAUCGGGGCUCCCCACGACUCGGCACUGUUACACGGACGCGGGUGUGUUCGCGUUCCCUUGUCAAAGACGAACGUGCGGACGUCUGUUUAUGUUGUGUGCGAUCAGAUGCGGGGGACACGGCAAUGCUUCCAAGUCAGACGCCGGGGAAUGUUUAAAACGUGGACUCUUUCCAAAUAAACUUGGGCGCACGCAGGACGGCACGUUACCCCGCCUGAACACCGCGCUGCAACUGGACGAAGACCGCCCCUCUCUCUAGGCGGCAAAAAAGCCACUUUUAACGUAUUUUCUCGUUCAUCUCGUCGCCUCCCUGAAAGGCGGGCUGGGCCCGAUCACGUGACCGCACCGGCUCCGGGCGGAAGCGGCCGCCGGGCUGCGCUCCGGAAGGCGAGGGGGCGGGCCGCUGCCCGGCUGAAAGAUGGCCGCCGCCGCCCGGCCGCCGCCGCCGCCCCGCGGGCUCCUCUAGGGCCCGCCGCCGCCGUGCCCGCCGCCCGCCGCCUGCCGCCGCCGCCGCCGCCUUACCAUGAGGCCGCUGAGUCGCCGCACGCUGGACUGGAUUUACUCGGCGCUGCUCCUCGCGAUUGUGUUGCUGUCCUGGGGGUACGUCAUCUAUGCAUCGACAGUGGCUGCGCGACGACAGCUAAGGAAGGAAUACCCAGACAAAACCUUCGGAUGAAUGAAAAUUUGUAAUUCCUCUGGAUAUAAUUCUCUGCAAAUACAGUUCUUUUACCGCAUGCUUAUCUCACACGUCUCUAGAUGUAAAAUCCUUAAUACAAAGUUGGCAAAUUUA